rnacentral:rRNA from 1 species
UACGUAGGAUCCGAGCGUUGUCCGGAUUUACUGGGUGUAAAGGGUGCGCAGGCGGACUGGUAAGUCAGUGGUGAAAUCUCGUCGCUUAACGACGAAACUGCCUUUGAUACUAUCAGUCUUGAGUCCGGUAGAGAUCUGUGGAAUUCCGAGUGUAGCAGUGAAAUGUGUAGAUAUUCGGAAGAACACCAGUGGCGAAGGCAGCAGAUUGGGCCGGUACUGACGCUCAUGCACGAAAGCGUGGGGAUCAAACAGGAUUAGAUACCCUGGUAGUCCACGCCCUAAACGAUGUACACUUGAUGUCGGCCUGUAAGGGUCGGUGUCGGAGCUAACGCGUUAAGUGUACCACCUGGGGAGUACGCUCGCAAGGGUGAA